GCAAAAACUACUACCAGUUAAACAGCAAAAACGCACCAGCAGCUGGAACAAGAACUAAUGCUACUAUAUACUUCCUGAUAUAAACCACUCACAGCAGGAACACUUACCAAAAGAAAGCGCUAACAGCAGAAAAUGCACACGGAUAUCAAUGAAAGUUAAAUUAUGUGAUUUGGAUGAUCUUAAUAUUGCAUAUUGUCAUUAAACUUGUUUUUCAAUACCAAAGUUUCUCCACUUAAGAACUAAUUGAGAAAGAGUCUUUGUAGCAGACCCGUCAUCUUUAUGUGCACUAUUAGCAGAUUCUUUUAAUUCCUUCAUAUUUUUGCGCAGUUUCCCACCUUCUUCCCCUUCCAUGAGACACUUGAUUAACUCUGCAAUUUGUACCUUUUCCACAAUGCCAUUCUGAUUAAUUUUUGGCCUCAGUCCCACUUUUAGUCCUUCACUCAACAAAACCGCAUUCGUUCUCUGCUCAGCAAAUAGAGGCCAUGUGAUUAGUGGCACACCAUGCAACACACUCUCAAGCAUUGAAUUCCAACCACAGUGAGUCAAGAACCCACCAACUGAACUGUGACGAAGGAUUUGAAUCUGUGGUGCCCAUGAUGGAAUAACCAUCCCUUGUUCCUUUGUUCUCUCCAAGAACCCUGAAGGUAAAAAUUGUAAAGGGUCAACAUCAGAUGCUGAAAGAUAUGCAGCAUUGGCUGUAUUACUUGGUGAUCUUACAACCCAUAAGAAUUUAUGAUUACUCAAUUCCAAACCCAAAGCCAGCUCAUUAAUUUGUUCUUGCGAAAGUGUUCCACCACUCCCGAAAGACACAUACAGAACUGAACAAGGCCGUUGUUUGUCCAACCAUGCCAGACAUUCAAACUUAUUAGCAUCAUCACCAGAUGUUGUUAGUGUUUGGAUAAUGGGUCCAACAGCAUACACAAGAAGGUUUUCACUUCCUUCGUCUGUCAGUGCUUCUAUAGGACCGUUUUCGAUUUCUAUGAAACUAUUAAUAAGAAUACCAUCAAAAAGACGCAAUUUUUCAACACCUUGGAGUAAGUAUUUGUAAGAUUGACUGGAUCUAUCUUGAGCUAGCUCAAAAAGAUCCCGACCAUGAAUCGGAACACUACCUGGUAUUUGAAUAGGCCCAGGAAGAUCUCUGUACUCGCAUGAUGUUUCCUUAUCUAACUUGAGCAAAUAGAAGUAUGAAGACAAACUGGUGGCUGAAGCAGGGUAGUAAACAUAGGACAACAAGUUGAAUUCCUUAGCAAAAUCCAGUGCAUCCAUUGCUGAUAUAUCAACCACCAAGGCAACAAAGGGUGUCUUUAAAGUUAAGGACUUCAAGGCCUGAUGUAUAGAUGGCAGUGAGUGAGUCAGUGUGAGCUGAAGUUGAAGUACUAAAGCAAUCCCUUGUGGUAGGUCAUUGGAGUUCACUGGUGGAAGAAAAGUACAGCUGAUGUUUGAUGGAAGAGUUUGAAGGAUUGUUUUUGAAUCAGUUGGGAGAGAACCAAGUGAGGGAAUGAAGCAUGUGACAUGAAAGUUUGGAUGAAGCUGAACAAGUCUCUUGGAGAAUUGAAGAAUAGAGACCAAAUGGCUAUAUCCAACACCUGGAACAACUGCAAUAUGAAUUGUUUUCUCCAUAAAAAUUUGUUCUUAGUUUACCGCUUAUAACUUUUUUUUUUUUUUUUUUUUUUUUAUGCUUGUGAAAGGAAAACCAAAAACAGAACUCACCUACCUCUACAUGCUCUGCAAAAUUGACAUUAUGUAUGUGUUUGACAAGUUUCAAAACGAUGAAUAAGAGCCACACAUGAUGGGAAGAACAAAUUUCUGACAUCCUACCCUACCAAGACAAAACACAAACCAAGUGUAUGAGUAUAUUUAUGUCCAGCACAUGGAAUUGUGUAAUGAAAGACUUUAUUUUGUACAGAAAAAAACAGGCCACUUACCACAAAAUAUAGUUAGAUGCAUAUAGGGCAAUAACUGAGGAUGUGUAUUAACACAAUUGAAAAUAGUAACUUAAGCAUUACUACUAGAAGUAACCAAACAGCCUUGAUGUCGGUGAGUUGGUGACUAAUAUAAAGACAACAAAAAUACCUUAUUAUAGAAAUUAAUUUCAAAUCUCAGCAACUAGAUGCUUAAUGUUAUUUUUUGUUCUUCAAGUGGAUGUCAUUACCUCAAAAUAAGAUCCUCAAGUAAUUAAAGCUAGUUCCAGUUAAAAAAAAUUGUAAUUAAAGCAGAGAAAAGUUCCAUGACAAAGCAUGAUAUUGAUAAAUGUUAGAAAAGAAUAGGAAGAUAAGGAAAAUUUAGGUUCUUCACUGUUUUUCUCUUAGAAGAAGAUCGUCAAAUUAGAGAGUUUAAGUAAAUUCAUUUUGUCUAAUAUGAAAUUGACUCUCGUAAACUCGACUAGUAUAAGUUUAUAUCAUAUAUAUUAAAAAUAAUAUACACAUGACAUAUUUACUUGUACUCUAUCCGGGAUAAAAUAUAAGCAAAAAUGGUAACCGAAAGGUCAAUGUAUAUCGUAAAAUAUUUAAUCCACAUACAUCAACUUUUCAACUACUAUUUUUGCAUACAUUUUAUUCCGGAAAUAAAUGGGUCAACAAUUCAAAAUUUCAACUUAGUUAUACAGUGAAAAAAAAAAGCGGACAUCAACAAAAUGAAACUAACAAAUAAGAAGAGAAACCGAAUGUGAAAACUAUGAUGAAAAAAAGAUCAAAAACAUUGUUAAAAGUUCCUUAUGAGUUUACCCAAGUUAGUGCGAGUUCAUCUAAGUUUACAACAGAGUCAACUUGAAACUGUACGAUUCAUCAAGUUAACUCAGGGAUUUUAACAACCUUGCUUGAAAGAUGAAGAACUCAAGUAUUCUCAUUAAGAUGGUUAGUCAUCUGGAUUAUGAUAAAACCUUCAAGGCACAAACUUUUCCCUGGUCUAUAUCUAGUUUCUUUGGUCUCAAAUUUGUGUCAAGGUAGAUUCCUAACUGAACUAUACACCAUUUGUAUCUAAAAGAGCAUUUGUCCUUAACAAAGAAAAUAAUUCAGAUUAGUCUAAAGGGCAUGUGCAACUCGACAAUGCAAAACAAUAUCAGCAUAAGCUUGUGAUGAUCAUAGUCUAAAUAUCUAAAAGGCCAGAGUCAAAAUCACUAUACAAGGUGAAUGCUGUAUAUAGAAAUUCAGAUAUGAUAAAUCAUGCCAUUACAAAACAAAAGAUAUAUAUAGUCACCAAUAGAAAGUACUGAGAAUCAUGCAAUAUCCAUUAAUGGAUGCACAAUAUUUAUUGAAGAUAAGACAAAGAAAAGUAAACUGUAAAAUAUAAGGCCAAAUAAGGUGAUAUAUAUUUUUUGAAUCAUGACAAAUAAGGUAUUUCUACACAAAACAAGCUUUCGCCUGAUAUAGCAAGUCAACAAUCCAGCUCAUCACCUAUAGAUAGCACAAAUAGCCUUAAUAGAAGUUAGUUAUAACCGGUUCCUUACUACUCAAAUAAACCUAUUAUCUUGUUUGUUCAAUAAAUAGGAUUCAUGUAACUAAAUCUACUUACAGAUCAAUGAAUCAACAUUUCAGUUUUCUCUCCUUUUUCUCCUUGAUCUUGAUCUCAUAAUACAUAUUGUCAUACAACUUGUUUUUCUAUACCAAAUUUCUCCACUUGAGUGCUAAUUGAGAAAGUGUCUUUGUAAAAGAUCCAUCAUCUUUAUGUGCACUAUUAGCAGAUUCUUUUAAUUCCUUCAUAUUUUUGCGCAGUUUCCCACCUUCUUCCCCUUCCAUGAGACACUUGAUUAACUCUGCAAUUUGUACCUUUUCCACAAUGCCAUUCUGAUUAAUUUUUGGCCUCAGUCCCACUUUUAGUCCUUCACUCAACAAAACCGCAUUCGUUCUCUGCUCAGCAAAUAGAGGCCAUGUGAUUAGUGGCACACCAUGCAACACACUCUCAAGCGUUGAAUUCCAACCACAGUGAGUCAAGAACCCACCAACUGAACUGUGACGAAGGAUUUGAAUCUGUGGUGCCCAUGAUGGAAUAACCAUCCCUUGUUCCUUUUUUCUCUCCAAGAACCCUGAAGGUAAAAAUUGUAAAGGGUCAACAUCAGAUGCUGAAAGAUAUGCAGCAUUGGCUGUAUUACUUGGUGAUCUUACAACCCAUAAGAAUUUAUGAUUACUCAAUUCCAAACCCAAAGCCAGCUCAUUAAUUUGUUCUUGCGAAAGUGUGCCACCACUCCCAAA
rnacentral:lncRNA from 1 species